CUUCGCGGCCCUAGAACGGCCUGAGGGGGAGAGGUUUUAGUCGGUAGGCGUCCUUCGGGAUGAAUCCGACACUACCCGGUCGCCCCACGGGCGGCCGGGUGUCUUUCGAAGAUUUCCUCUCCUCCACGAA
rfam:Agrilus planipennis Contig47574, whole genome shotgun sequence.